CCCCCCGGCCGGGGGGGGCGGGCCCCCCCCCCCCCCCGCGGGGGCGGCCCCCCCCCGCCGGGGGGGGCGGGGGGGGGCCCCCCCCCCCCCGGGGGGG
rnacentral:tRNA from 1 species